UCUUUUGCUGUGUCUUCAGGUGUCGGACUCUGUGAGUGGACAGACAGUGGUGGACCCCAAGGGCUACCUUACUGAUCUACAGAGUAUGCUCCCAUCUCAUGGCGGAGACAUCAAUGAUGUGAAGAAGGCCCGUUUGCUGUUGAAAUCUGUGAGAGAGACAAAUCCAAAGCAUCCACCAGCCUGGAUUGCCUCGGCUCGUCUGGAGGAAGUGACAGGGAAAGUGCAAGCGGCCAGGAACCUGAUCAUGAAAGGCUGUGAGGAGUGUCCCAAGUCAGAGGAUGUGUGGUUAGAGGCAGCCAGACUU